GGGCGGGCCGCCAUGGCGGGCCGCCAUGAGGACUCGGCCCGGCUCCUGCGGUCCUCCCAGCGCCGCCCACAGACCCCGCCCGCAACCACAGCUCCGCCAGCUUUACAACCCCGUGACUUUUAGUUUCCGUAACUAUCGCAGACACGUGUUCGGUAGCGAAGAGCCUAACGUAGGGAACGGCAGAAUGACCAAAUGCCUCUAAGACUUAAAAGGACCACACGCCUGUGGUGAUCAGCAGCAUGAGCUGAUGAUGACCUGACCACAGUCUGGUCGUACCUACAGGGAAAAAUCGGGUUUAAGAAGUCAAACGAGUCUUACGAGCUGUGGAGGGAUCCUGCCGGCCGCCAGGGUGUCGAUUUCUCAAGGAAAGAGGUGUUCUGGAGCAGAGCAGGGCUUCUCCCAAAGCAAUGACAGUGAUCUGCCCUGUCGCCUCCUGCACCAGCACGUUUUCAUUUGCAAAGACCAAAUCCUGCUUGCCAGAUACAAACACACCAAGUAGAUCGAGGAGCACAGCUGAGAGCUCUGCAGGAUGCAGUGAGAGAACCUUGGGAUUGCAGCAAUUUUUGUAGUAACCAGGAACCACAAAAAGGGAGUCAGGCCGUUCAGGCACAAGGAAAAUGCUGCUGUCACGAGAGAAGGCAGGCUGGGAUCACAUCACCAUCACGAGCUGGUGAUGACCAGGGACAACAAGCAAGCAGCUACUGAAAUACAUUCCCCUGGACUUUCACCCCAGUUUCUCUCGACAAAGGCUCUGGAGGGCACCCCAGGCUGAGCCAGAGGACACCGGACAAGGCAAGAGCUGGGAAGUCACUGUGCAAUCCAGAGGUCACUGAGCAGCAGCACCCAGGCACCAGGCACCGGGUGAGUCACAAACACUGGGUGUGUUCAGCAUGGCAGGACAUGCAGCACUGCUGGCAGCAGCUCCACUUCCUGCGUGCAAUCCUCACCCCCCACAGAAACCUGGCAGAAACUCCCUGUUGGUCCACUUGCCACUGCUGCUGUACAGCAAUGGAACUACAGACUUGUGCCUUUUCACUGCCCCAGCAACAGCAGAGGGGCUCAGAGAGCCUCUUUUAUUCUACGUCAGUUGGCAUGCACAUGUAUCCCCUGGAGAUUUCCUCCCAGCCUCAGCCACAGACAUCCACUGGGCUGGCUAUCACUUUGUAAGGCUUCAGCUCAUUCAUCUGCCCUUAUUGGAGAAAACAGAGAAGGGAGGGAAAUCAUCUAUAACCAGAGAUCAGGCCCCAUUUACAGGCCUGCUGCAGCAGGGCUUUCUCUACAGAAUAAGGCAGGCCGGGAUUUCCUCCUUUCCGCAGGGUAUCUGUGAGGGUUUAAAAAGUCCAAACAAAUGGGAUGCUGAGGCACAGUAAGACCCAGCUUAGGCUCACUUUUACCAGCCUUUUGCCAUCAACUGGUACAUAACAAAAGACCACAAGGUGGGAAGUGUGGACAUGAAAUGCAAAACCUUUGUAAGUCAAAGCUGACAAAAGAUUGUUUCUCCAAACCCCCCUU